ACUAUCAAUAGAGGCUUUGAGCAUGCAGUGAAACCAUUCCCUUGUUCCCCUAUGGUGCAAUGAUACAUUGUAAGAGCUGUGAAUGGAACUGUCCAGUCAUACUGCUAACAUAAUUCAAAGAGGGUAACAGCACUGAAACUUCUCAAGUUAACAGAAACCAGUUAUUUGAAUUACCACAGAGAUUAAAACUGAGUAAGCAGAGUAGUUACAACCUGUUGUAAUCUCGAGAAUCAGAAGAAGUGUUCCUCCUCCACUGGCUUCAAAACGAGUCUUGUUGGGAGAGGAAAUCACAAGUGUGUUUGACUCUGCCCCCUCCUUGCAGCCGUUGGCCCCUUGCCGUGGCCAUUAGGAAGAUUCUCAGUCUUACUGGAGCAAUGACAGACGAAAACCGUUAAGAGAAAAUGUCUCUGAG